rnacentral:lncRNA from 1 species
AGCAAACCCUGAGCUGUAACAAAUCCGCUGCCUCUGUCCCUCACUUCCUCUUUCUGUUCAUAAACAUUCUUCCACGACGUGCUGUGCUGGAAUCCCUGAGCCUGCUCUGGCCUGGGAGGCUGCCUGAUUUUACACAAAGAACUCUUGAAUCCCCUUUUAUCAUUUUCUGAACCAUUUGAGAGCAAGCUGCAAUCAUAAGAUCCAGCACCUCUAAACACUCCAGAAUAUAUUUUUAGAUAUAACCCUGUAAUGGCUGAAAAGUGUUCCCCCCAAAUUCACAUCCUCCUGAAACCUCAGAAUGUGACCUUAUUUUGAAAUAGGGUCAUUACAGAUGUAAUGAAGGAUCUCCAAUUGAAUCCGUCCAAGGAUUAAGGUGGGCCCUGAAUCCCAUAGACUGGUGUCCUCAUAAGAAAAGGUGAGGACAAAGAGAGACACAGAGACACACAGAUAGCUAUGUGAAGAUGGAAGCAGAGGUUGGGGAUCUGCUGCCACAAACAAAGGCACCCCAAGUAUUGCCAGCAACCACCAGAAGCAAGGAGAAAGGCAUGGGACGCUUUCUCCAUCAGAGUCUCCGGAAGGAACCAAGCUUACUGACACCUUGAUUUUGGACUUCUAGCCCCCAGAACUUCAAGAUAAUACAUUUCUGUUGUUUAAAGCCAUGUGGUUUGUGGUAAUUUGUUAUGACAGUGCUAGAAAACUUAUACAAACCCUCCAAGGCAGAAAUAAACAUGGGCACAACACUGCUACCCAAUCCACAGAUCCCAUUCAAAUUUUGCUGGCUCAGCCCAUCAUGUCUCUUUUCCCUUUCAGGUCCAGGAUCCAGUCCAGGAGCAUGCAUUACAUUUAGUUGUCACAUGUCCGAAUAGAAGGAAGGAGAUUCCCUUCAAUAUGGAAUAAUUUCUUAGUCUUUCCCUGUCUUCCACAUCCUUCCGUUUUUUGUUUUUGUUUUUAUUUUGAGACAGUCUCACUCUGUCACCCAGGCUGGAGUACAGUGGGGUGAUCAUGGCUCACUAUAGCCUUGACUUCUCCAGGCUCAGGUGAUCCUCCUACCUCAGCCUCCUGAGUAUCUGGGACUACAGGCGUGUGCCACCACACUCGGCUAAUUUUUGCUUUUUUUUGUAGAACAGAGUUUCAAGUUGCUCAGGCUGGUCUCAAACUCCUGGGCUCAAGUGAUCCACCCACCUUGGCCUCCCAAAGUGCUGGGAUUACAGGCACGACCCACUGCAACUGGCCCCACAUCCUUCAGUUUUUAAGAGUGCAGGCCUUUUGUUAUGUAGGAUGGCCCUAGACCUGGUUCCAUCUAAUAUUUCAUUUUGGUCAGACCUCGCCAUGAUUUCUUGACAGGAAAAUGAUGGACAGGAUCCUGGGCUCUGCACAUUACAGCAUAUGAUGUGGUCUUGUCUCAUCACUGGUGAUGUUAAUCUUGAUUGCUUGGUCAUGUUGGUGUCUUCCAUAUUUCUCCUCCAUUGAGUCACCAUUUUCACCUUUGCAAUUGAUAAGCAUUUUGUGGGGAGAUUUUCUAAAAUUAUGCUAAAAUCCUGAUCCUUAACAACUUCUACCCAUCAGCCUUAAUAUUUGUGGAUGAUCCCUAUCUGAAUAAAUUAUAACCAUAAUAGUGUCAUAUGGUGGUUUGCUAUUUUCAUCAUUCCUUCUACAUUAAUUACUUGGUAUUCUACUGUAAGAAAGAAGUUCCACUGCUUCCUCUAUUUAUUUACUUAUUUAUUCAUUUAUUUAGUAGUAUGAAUUUCAAUUUAACAGGUUAAAAACCAUGCUUGUUCUUUGUGAAAGUAUAUAACGUUAUUAUCUUUAUCAGAGAAGAAAUGGUUCUGAACUUCUCAAGAAAGUAUACAAGCAGUAUAAAAAUGAGAUAAUUACACUUACUUAACAUACCUUAUUUUCAUCCAAAUAAACACGAAAAGAAUCCAACAUGAUAUUUGAAAUUCUACCAUAGGGUAUUUUACUAGAAAAAUAGAAUCUUGUGUUUUUGGUAAUGUUUGUUCAUAUCACAAAAUUACUGAGAAGCGAAACAUUUCUAAAUUCACAUUAGAACAUUGUAAUUCACAUUUGUGUUAGAAUGAUGGUUACCAGAGUCUGGGAAGGGUAGUGGAGUAGUAGAAUGGGGGAUGGUUAUUGGAUAUGAAAAUAUAGUUAGUUAGAAUGAAUAAGAUCUAGUAUUUGAUAGCACAACAGGGUAACUACAGUCAACAAUAAUUUAUUGUACAUUUAAAAAUAACUAUAAGACUAUAAUUAGAUUGUAACACAAAGAAAGGAUAAAUGUUUGAAGUGAUAGAUACCCCAUUUAUCCUGAUGUGAUUAUUACACAUUGUAUGCUUGUAUCAAAAUAUCUCAUGUACGCCAUACAUAUAUAUGCCUACUGUGUACUCACAAAAAUUAAAAAUUGUAAAAAUAAAUAAACAAAACAAAACAAAAUUGUUUGAUAUUUCUUUUAUAAAUUCCCUUUCACAAAUCUUUUCAUGACUUACACAGAACAUCUAUGAAAAGCUUGGACUUUCUCACUUGUCCUAAGCAUCCCUCUUUUUAAACAAUCAGUUAUUUUUCUUUAGGAUGCAAAUUUACGACAAAAGAUCCUUUCUCAUAUAAAAUUUCUUUUCUUUAUAAUCUUCCUUAACAAAAAUACCUCUUUACCUUUAUAACCUUUGAAUUAGAGAAAAGUUAUUUUCCUUCUGUUAGGAAUUUAUGGUUUGUACUGCAUGUUGUUGUGUGUGUCCUGUGAAGGGGAAGCAAAU